UUGACCUCGGAUCAGGUAGGACUACCCGCUGAACUUAAGCAUAUCAAUAAGCGGAGGAAAAGGAACCAACAGGGAUUGCCCCAGUAACGGCGAGUGAAGCGGCAACAGCUCAAAUUUGAAAGCUGGCUCUCGGGCCCGCGUUGUAAUUUGGAGAGGAUGCUUUUGGCGCGGCGCCUUCCGAGUUCCUUGGAACAGGACGCCACAGAGGGUGAGAGCCCCGUACGGUCGGACGCCUAGCCUAUACAAAGCUCCUUCGACGAGUCGAGUAGUUUGGGAAUGCUGCUCAAAAUGGGAGGUAAAUUUCUUCUAAAGCUAAAUACCGGCCAGAGACCGAUAGCGCACAAGUAGAGUGAUCGAAAGAUGAAAAGCACUUUGAAAAGAGGGUUAAACAGUACGUGAAAUUGUUGAAAGGGAAGCGCCUGUGACCAGACUUGCGCCCCGCGAACCACCCGGCGUUCUCGCCGGUGCACUCCGCGGGGCGCAGGCCAGCAUCGGUUCUCCUAGGGGGACAAAGGCCGCAGGAACGUAGCUCCCUCGGGAGUGUUAUAGCCUGCGGCGCCAUGCCUCUGGGGGGACCGAGGACCGCGCUUCGGCAAGGAUGCUGGCGUAAUGGUCACCAGCGACCCGUCUUGAAACACGGACCAAGGAGUCAAGCAUUGGGGCGAGUGUUUGGGUGCCAAACCCGCACGCGAAAUGAAAGUAAACGCAGGUGAGAGCUUCGGCGCAUCAUCGACCGAUCCUGAUGUAUUCGGAUGGAUUUGAGUAAGAGCCUUACCGCUUGGACCCGAAAGAUGGUGAACUAUGCCUGAAUAGGGUGAAGCCAGAGGAAACUCUGGUGGAGGCUCGCAGCGGUUCUGACGUGCAAAUCGAUCGUCAAAUUUGGGCAUGGGGGCGAAAGACUAAUCGAACCAUCUAGUAGCUGGUUACCGCCG
rnacentral:rRNA from 1 species